AUACGGUUGCAAAAUGAAAAAUAUUGCUAGGAUUCUGUGAUGGACUGAUAGAAUCAGUGGACACAGAAAAGGCAACUAAGAGUAGAAAUUUGUUCCAAACACUCAAGAUCUGAUAACUGAUUCCCAUUUAGAUGUCAUUGAGACCUCUGGGAAGUACAGAAUAAUCAGAGCACAGCAGGCACCAGUCAUGAAUCCUCCAUUCUUCACAGCCAGCCUCUGACAUGCUCUGGUGGACAGGGAGAGGACACUGAGUGCAACGGCACAUCACCAAGUCAUCCCUUCUCUGAAAGGGGCCAUGCUUUCAGAGGCUGAAAAAUCAUCCCUGAUGCACCUUGUCUCUGGUAUCUAAAGGAUACAUAGACAUGUCCAGCACAAUCUAAGAACCACAUAUACUGAGUAGCAGAGGAUUCAAUAAAUCUUCCUAUUCUGUGUCCAGUUGCCUCUUAUUAAGAUGUUUAAUAUUCAGUUUCUUUUUCCUGCACCAGCUGGAUGAUUUGGAAAAGCCUGCAGAGCUGUCAUCUCUCCUGUAUUUUAUUUCAAUGCAGAACAAUUCACUCCUGAGUCUUUCAACCAAAUAUGCCAAGCAGCAUACAAAAGCCAAAUGAAACUCAUGUUUCUAAUAGUUAUCACUGUAUCCUGGGACAUUGAGAGAUAACACUAGAAAAUCAUUCAUGAGCAACAGAGAGAAUAAAACAUAUUGCUACUGAUGGUAGAAUAGACAAAGAGAUAAUUGUAGCAUGGGAUGUACGUACAUUGUACAUGGUUUGUACUUUAAAUCUCAAAAUCUGAAGAAAACAAACAAAGGUUAUUGCUCCACCACCUUUGCUUAUUAUUGUAAUUGUCUAUAUUGUAUUCCCUCUAUCUACCCUUUUGAAUACCUUCAUGACAAUUUGACAGGUGCUCUUGGCACAUCUUUAAUGACAUAGAAAUACAUGCAAAUUCACAGGGGUGUAGCCAUAUAGUGUUUCAAUGAUGCAGAACUGGAAGAACUGACCUCCAAAGAAAGAUGAAGUUUUCAGGAGCCACUGCAGCAGCACUCCACCUGUGAUCUCCGUCACCAGAGACUGGUUUGUCCACAAAGUACCACUGCUGCAGGAUGAAAGCAAGAAAAAUCUCUGCAUUUGUGCAAAAGCUGUGUUUGUGGAAAAAGAAAGGAAAGGGAAAAGGAAAGAGGAAAAAGGUUAGCUCCAAUGACAAGCAGGGAAGCAGAUUCUGCUUUCCCUUAGUACGUUGUGGUAGCCUGAUACUAACCUUCACAGGUAGGAGACAAGACAGGGCUAAAGACCUGGAGGAGAAAGUUAGUACAGGUAAUUCAUGCCUCUUGGUAGCAGUUUUCUUGCAAUGCUUUGACUAGAGUUCACCACCAAAACCUCUAUUUUUAGUUACACAUUCUGCAGUCAAUUUCUUUGUACAAUAACUGAAAAUAAAGAAAUUGCAUGGACACCACAGGAAAAUGAAGACACAAAGGCAAACAAAGAAUUAUCUGCCUGAGGGAAGGAGAAGUAUUCUAAAGUUCAAAAUGUGUUACAACGUUAAUCAUCUGAUCAAUACCAGUAAUCUCAGUGCAGAAAAAUACAUGGGAUUUGGUUUUUAAGUAGGUACAUGCAUUUUGGGGAAGUUCAUCUUCCCUAUAUUUUGUCUGUGAAGGAUGAGUUCAUCCUCCUAUACACCAGUAAGUACCAAAAUGAUAGUGAGACUUUCUACAUGAGAAAAAAGAAUUUCCCAUAGGCAGAAAGGAUGAGGAAUUCCAAACUUUUUAUUAUACCACCCAUUUCAGAAGUGCAUACCAAAGUAAAAACAUAGCAAAAAAAUGCGUAUGAGUUUGUGGUAACACACUAUUUGUACAGCAGCCCUCAGGCACAGCUGUAACUCAUGUAGAUUCCUAAGGACUUUUGAUUUAAAUUCUGUGUUUUUCUAAAAGUGCUCUGUUGAGACAACAAAAUGACUGUAAGCCAAAACCCACACUUUCGUUUCUAUCUACCCUCAGCUGCUAUUAUGCUGCAUUUAGAAAUACACAGGUAGGACAAUUACAGUACUUUGUUGCUAUAUUACUCUGAAAUUAAAUUUGAAAAUGAUGUUUCUUUAAAACUACAGAAAGACAUAAAUAUACCUUAACUUUUUUCUUUUUCUUUUUUUUUUUUUUUCCCAAGUUACACCUAAUAAACAUUGGCAGCAUGAAAACAACAGCUUUGAGCAAUUAGGGGACCCAGAUACAAGGGUUAAAUUUUCUUAAAUAAAAC
ensembl:lncRNA